rnacentral:misc_RNA from 1 species
UCUCCGUUGGUGAACCAGCGGAGGGAUCAUUACAGAGUUGCAAAACUCCCAAACCAUUGUGAACGUUACCUACCCCGUUGCUUCGGCGGGCGGCCCGGGCCCCGCGCCCGGCGCCCCCCGGCCCCCCGUGGGCGCCCGCCGGAGGUAAACCAAACCCUUGAAUUGCAUGGCCUCUCUGAGUCUUCUGUACUGAAUAAGUCAGAACUUUCAACAACGGAUCUCUUGGUUCUG